CCUACGGGUGGCAGCAGUGGGGAAUAUUGCACAAUGGGGGAAACCCUGAUGCAGCAACGCCGCGUGAGUGAAGAAGUAUUUCGGGAUGUAAAGCUCUAUCAGCAGGGAAGAAGUUGAAGGUAACUGAGAAAGAAGCCCCGGCUAAGUACGGGCCAAGAGCCGCGGGAAGACGUAGGGGGGCAGCGGUAGACGGAUUUACUGGGUGGAAAGGGCGGGGAGACGGUGAGUCAAGUCUGAAGUGAAAUCCCGGGGCUACACCCCGGGACUGCUUUUGAAACUGCCUGACUGGCGUGCUGGAUAGGCAAGCGGAAUUCCUAGUGUAGCGGUGAAAUGCGUAGAUAUUAGGAGGAACACCAGUGGCGAAGGCGGCCUGCUGGACAUUAACUGACGUUGAGGCUCGAAAGCGUGGGGAGCAAACAGGAUUAGAUACCCUUGUAGUC
rnacentral:rRNA from 1 species